UACAGAGGUCCCAAGCGUUGUUCGGAUUUACUGGGCGUAAAGGGUGCGUAGGCGGUUGGGUAAGUCUGAUGUGAAAUCUCACAGCUUAACUGUGAAACUGCAUUGGAUACUAUCCGGCUAGAGGAAUGGAGGGGAGACUGGAAUACUUGGUGUAGCAGUGAAAUGCGUAGAUAUCAAGUGGAACACCAGUGGCGAAGGCGAGUCUCUGGACAGUUCCUGACACUGAGGCACGAAGGCCAGGGGAGCAAACGGG
rnacentral:rRNA from 1 species